UUAAUAUUGAUAUCCAGUAGUUAAUUUAAAACUGAUUCGAGACGAGUUAGAAAGGUGUUUUUGAAUCUUGGUUCAAACUUCAUAUGAUUAUUUCUUUAAGGAUGAUCUAUACGGUAUUUAUAAAAAUAUUUUUAGUAGAUGUAGAAACAUUGCCAUUUGAGAAUUUGGUUGAUUUUUAUUUAUCGUCAAUGGAAAACAAUAAUGGUUUUUUUAAUAUGAGAAAAAAAUAGCCAGUCAAGAUGUUAAUAUCAAAAGUAACAAUAACUAGCAGUUUGAAUUAUUCAAAGAUUUUUUUUCAAAUAAACAUGUUCAGUAAAAGUAUGAAUGCCGAUAAAAACUAGGAUUUACUGGUAAAUUCUACCGACCGCAGUCGGUAAAACCUAGGAUACCCACAUAAAAUAGUUUAGUCAAACCACGAUUGUUUUUUGUAGUUUGGACAUUUACAAACGAGAUAUGACGUGUCAACAGCAACGCCGGAAAGAAAUUUUCGAUUUUUUCAAAGUUGAAAAAUAUCCAAGAUCAUCAAUAAAUGAAGUUAUCUUUUAAUUAUUUUGGAAAUAUAAAAAAAAUAUAUAAAUAACUUAUAACUGUGUUUUUAAUUUUUUUAUUGUGUAGCCUAACGACUGAACGAUGGAUUAGUAUAAUAAUGUCCAUUUAUCGAGAUUCGAGACAUUAAUCCAGAUAUGGAUAAAAUCAUCGAUGAAUUUGUAUUAAAUUUCAAUAUGAAUGCCAUUUUCCGUGAAUAGAAAACAGGCAAAACAGCUGUUUGUUGAGACGCGAACGUUAAAAACAUAAUAUGGACAGAAUGGUUACUUUAUCACCCAGACGACUGCGACUGACUGAUUAACACGUGAAACAAAAUAAUUAUUCAAAAAGUAACAAGCUAUUGAGCGAAAUAGGUAUCUACUGAAAGAAAACAUUCCACCGUUGUUUAAAAAGUAUUUGAAGAUUACUCAUAAGUCAGUACCAAAAAUAUUAUACAACUUAAUUUAUAAGCAAAAUGUAUAAAAUACAUACUUUUAAUUCUUUUAUAUUUCAAUUAUAUCGUAUUUUAUAUUUUUU